rnacentral:rRNA from 2 species
UACGAAGGGGGCUAGCGUUGUUCGGAAUCACUGGGCGUAAAGCGCACGUAGGCGGAUCUUUAAGUCAGAGGUGAAAUCCCAAGGCUCAACCUUGGAACUGCCUUUGAUACUGGGGAUCUCGAGUCCGGGAGAGGUGAGUGGAACUGCGAGUGUAGAGGUGAAAUUCGUAGAUAUUCGCAAGAACACCAGUGGCGAAGGCGGCUCACUGGCCCGGUACUGACGCUGAGGUGCGAAAGCGUGGGGAGCAAACAGG